rfam:Equus caballus chromosome 9, whole genome shotgun sequence.
UAAAAGGCUUUCUAAAGCCACAGAAUUAAACAAGAGGAUAUUCU